rnacentral:rRNA from 1 species
CGUUUAGGGGUAAACCUGAGAAACCCGAAAGGUCGAAGGAAGAAAUUCAUUCGCGUUUCGUUGUCGACGUAGAGCGGUCGUUGAGACGGUCAAGUACUUGUAUUUGGCUGCUCCUUCAGCUCCUCGAUUUGAUAGCGAACGCGUGCACUUUUCUUCUGGUAGGACGUCGCGAUCCGUUGAGUGUCGGUCUAAGGYUUGAGGUGGUGUCCGUGUAAGUCCUUGUGAUUUAUACGAACCCUUGAUGUCCCGGCCGACUCGCUCGACGGUAUUUUAAUGGUUUGGACCGCUCCYUGUGAGAGCGUUCGACUCAUGACAAGCGUACUAGUUGUUGUUGGUGAUCGGACCUAGUGCCGAUCCUGGCCUCUAGUCACUGUUGGUUGUGAAUGUCUUGAACAGUGUCCACACAUUUCAAUAACCAAUCUGCGACGCUAUAGCUUUGGGUACUUUCAGGACCCGUCUUGAAACACGGACCAAGGAGUCUAGCAUGUACGCGAGUCAUUGGGAUUUUUUACUAAACCUAAAGGCGUAAUGAAAGUGAAAGUUUUCCUUGUGAAAACCAAGGGAAGAUGUGUAUUUGUGAAAGCAAAURUACCGCAUUCCCGGGGCGUCUCAUUCUCAUCGCGAGAAGAGGCGCACCUAGAGCGUACACGCUGGGACCCGAAAGAUGGUGAACUAUGCCUGGU